UUUUUAUACGACCGCAAAAAUUAAAAUUUUUUGGUCGUAUAUUGCUAUCACGUUGGCGUCGUCGUCUGCGUCGUCGUCGUCGUCGUCGUCCGAAUACUUUUAGUUUUCGCACUAUAACUUUAGUAAAAGUGAAUAGAAAUCAAUGAAAUUUUAACACAAGGUUUAUGACCACAAAAGGAAGGUUGGGAUUGAUUUUGGGAGUUUUGGUCCCAACAUUUUAGGAAUUAGGGGCCAAAAAGGGCCCAAAUAAGCAUUUUCUUGGUUUUCGCACUAUAACUUUAGUUUAAGUGAAUAGAAAUCUAUGAAAUUUUGACACAAGGUUUAUGACCACAAAAGGAAGGUUGGGAUUGAUUUUGGGAGUUUUGGUUCCAACAGUUUAGGAAAUAGGGCCAAAAAAGGGCCCAAAUAAGCAUUAUUCUUGGUUUUCGCACAAUAACUUUAGUAUAAGUAAAUAGAAAUCAAUGAAAUUUUAACACAAGGUUUAUGACCACAAAAGGAAGGUUGGGAUUGAUUUUUUGGAGUUGAGGUCACAACAGUUUAUGAAUUAGGGGCCAAAAAGGGGUCCAAAUAAGCCUUAUUUUGGUUUUUGCACCAUAACUUUAGUAUAAGUAAAUAAAAAUCUAUGAAAUUUAAACACAAGGUUUAUGACCAUAAAAGAAAGGUUGGGUUUGAUUUUGGGAGUUUUGGUCCUAACAGUUUAGGAAUAAGGGGCCAAAAGGGUCCAAAAUUGAACUUUGUGUGAUUUCAUCAAAAAUUGAAUAAUUGGGGUUCUAUGAUAUGCCGAAUCUAACUAUGUAUGUAGAUUCUUAAUUUUUGGUCCCGUUUUCAAAUUGGUCUACAUUAAGGUCCAAAGGGUCCAACAUUAAACUUAGUUUGAUUUUAACAAAAAUUGAAUCCU
rnacentral:lncRNA from 1 species